CCUGAAAAAAAAAAACUAGUUUUUGCUUACAAAUUGAUGUCCAGUGUUAUACUAAUUUUAACAGCUUUAUAGAACCC